rnacentral:rRNA from 1 species
GUCUCUACUCCUACGGGAGGCAGCAGUGGGGAAUAUUGCACAAUGGGCGCAAGCCUGAUGCAGCGACGCCGCGUGAGGGAUGACGGCCUUCGGGUUGUAAACCUCUUUCAGUAGGGAAGAAGCGAAAGUGACGGUACCUGCAGAAGAAGCGCCGGCUAACUACGUGCCAGCAGCCGCGGUAAUACGUAGGGCGCAAGCGUUAUCCGGAUUUAUUGGGCGUAAAGAGCUCGUAGGCGGUUUGUCGCGUCUGCCGUGAAAGUCCGAGGCUCAACCUCGGAUCUGCGGUGGGUACGGGCAGACUAGAGUGAUGUAGGGGAGACUGGAAUUCCUGGUGUAGCGGUGAAAUGCGCAGAUAUCAGGAGGAACACCGAUGGCGAAGGCAGGUCUCUGGGCAUUUACUGACGCUGAGGAGCGAAAGCAUGGGGAGCGAACAGGAUUAGAUACCCUGGUAGUCCAUGCCGUAAACGUUGGGCACUAGGUGUGGGGGACAUUCCACGUUUUCCGCGCCGUAGCUAACGCAUUAAGUGCCCCGCCUGGGGAGUACGGCCGCAAGGCUAAAACUCAAAGGAAUUGACGGGGGCCCGCACAAGCGGCGGAGCAUGCGGAUUAGUUCGAUGCAACGCGAAGAACCUUACCAAGGCUUGACAUGUGCCAGAUCGCCUCAGAGAUGGGGUUUCCCUAAG